rnacentral:rRNA from 1 species
AGCGAACGCUGGCGGUAGGCCUAACACAUGCAAGUCGAACGGCAGCACAGUAAGAGCUUGCUCUUACGGGUGGCGAGUGGCGGACGGGUGAGGAAUACAUCGGAAUCUACUUUUUCGUGGGGGAUAACGUAGGGAAACCUACGCUAAUACCGCAUACGACCUACGGGUGAAAGCAGGGGAUCUUCGGACCUUGCGGGAUUGAAUGAGCCGAUGUCGGAUUAGCUAGUUGGCGGGGUAAAGGCCGACCAAGGAGACGAUCGGUAGCUGGUCUGAGAGGAUGAUCGACCACCCUGGAACUGAGACACGGUCCAGACUCCUACGAGAGGCACCAGUGGGGAAUAUUGGACAAUGGGCGCAAGCCUGAUCCAGCCAUACCGCGUGGGAGAAGAAGGCCUUCGGGUUGUGAAGCCCUUUUGUUGGGUAAGAAAAGCAGCAGCUUAAUACGCCGCUGUUCUGACGGUACCCAGAGAAUAAGCACCGGCUAACUUCGUG